UGCUACCCGCUGACGAGCGGCGGACGGGUGAGUAAUGCAUAGGAAUCUGCCCGGUAGUGGGGGAUAACCUGGGGAAACCCAGGCUAAUACCGCAUACGUCCUACGGGAGAAAGGGGGCUCCGGCUCCCGCUAUUGGAUGAGCCUAUGUCGGAUUAGCUAGUUGGUGAGGUAAAGGCUCACCAAGGCAACGAUCCGUAGCUGGUCUGAGAGGAUGAUCAGCCACAUCGGGACUGAGACACGGCCCGAACUCCUACGGGAGGCAGCAGUGGGGAAUAUUGGACAAUGGGGGCAACCCUGAUCCAGCCAUGCCGCGUGUGUGAAGAAGGCCUUCGGGUUGUAAAGCACUUUCAGCGAGGAAGAACGCCUAGUGGUUAAUACCCAUUAGGAAAGACAUCACUCGCAGAAGAAGCACCGGCUAACUCCGUGCCAGCAGCCGCGGUAAUACGGAGGGUGCAAGCGUUAAUCGGAAUUACUGGGCGUAAAGCGCGCGUAGGUGGCUUGAUAAGCCGGUUGUGAAAGCCCCGGGCUCAACCUGGGAACGGCAUCCGGAACUGUCAAGCUAGAGUGCAGGAGAGGAAGGUAGAAUUCCCGGUGUAGCGGUGAAAUGCGUAGAGAUCGGGAGGAAUACCAGUGGCGAAGGCGGCCUUCUGGACUGACACUGACACUGAGGUGCGAAAGCGUGGGUAGCAAACAGGAUUAGAUACCCUGGUAGUCCACGCCGUAAACGAUGUCGACCAGCCGUUGGGUGCCUAGCGCACUUUGUGGCGAAGUUAACGCGAUAAGUCGACCGCCUGGGGAGUACGGCCGCAAGGUUAAAACUCAAAUGAAUUGACGGGGCCCGCACAAGCGGUGGAGCAUGUGGUUUAAUUCGAUGCAACGCGAAGAACCUUACCUACUCUUGACAUCCUGCGAACUUGUGAGAGAUCACUUGGUGCCUUCGGGAACGCAGAGACAGUGCUGCAUGGCUGUCGUCAGCUCGUGUUUGUGAAUGUUGGGGUUAAGUCCCGUAACGAGCGCACCCUUGUCUAUUUGCAGCGGGUAAUGCCGGGAACUCUACGAGACUGCGUGACAACCGGAGGAAGGUGGGACGACGUCAGUCAUCAUGCCUACGAGUAGCUACACACGUGCUUCCAAUGCGUACAGUGCAGCCUCGGAAGUUCAGCUAAUCUCCGUAAAACCGGUUCUCUCUAAGG
rnacentral:rRNA from 1 species